rnacentral:misc_RNA from 1 species
ACCGUCAAUUCCUUUGAGUUUUAGCCUUGCGGCCGUACUCCCCAGGCGGGGAACUUAAUGCGUUAGCUGCGUCACGGAAACCGUGGAAUGGUCCCCACAACUAGUUCCCAACGUUUACGGGGUGGACUACCAGGGUAUCUAAGCCUGUUUGCUCCCCACCCUUUCGCUCCUCAGCGUCAGUUACGGCCCAGAGAUCUGCCUUCGCCAUCGGUGUUCCUCCUGAUAUCUGCGCAUUCCACCGCUACACCAGGAAUUCCAAUCUCCCCUACCGCACUCUAGUCUGCCCGUACCCACUGCAGGCCCGAGGUUGAGCCUCGGGAUUUCACAGCAGACGCGACAAACCGCCUACGAGCUCUUUACGCCCAAUAAUUCCGGAUAACGCUUGCGCCCUACGUAUUAC